rnacentral:lncRNA from 1 species
GACUCUAUCACGACAAGUACACCACCUCACUUCAAUUUUUAUUUUACAUCAAGCAUUUCAAAACAGCAUAAUGUAAGUAUAUAUUUCAAUUUCGUAUAUGAAUUACCUUGUUUUAUUCAGUUUGUAGUAGUUAUUAGUUAAAAUAUUGCGAUGAUUAACGUUUUAUUGCAGUAUAUAAUAAGGGAAAAGCUUGGCCGACAUUCCCGUUAUGAAAAUUUUUAACAAGGUCGUAAUUUUUAUCAAAACAUUUUCAUUCGAAAAGGAAUAAAACAAUUUGUGUGAUGAAUAACUUUCCCCCAGACAUAUUGUUUUUUUGUUUCAUAAGUUACUGUUUUCAUAUUUUCACCCACUUUGAUGCAAUUAACAAUUAAAAACCAGUAUUCUGGUUGUCGGCCAUGUUUUUUUUGGCUUCAAUAUCAAGACAGACCCCUGUCUGUUUACAUUUUUUACACUUUUCCGUCUUCAGAGAAAUAUUGUACCCAGCACAUGCAUCACUUUCCUAUGACAAACUGAAUUGGGAUAUAGAGGUUGUAUUUUUCGGCCAUGUUUUUUUUUGGCUUCAAUAUCAAGACAGACCCCUGUCUGUUUACACUUUUUACACUUUUCCGUCUUCAGAGAAAUAUUGUACCCAGCACAUGCAUCACUUUCCUAUGACAAACUGGAUUGGGAUAUUGAGGUUGUAUUUUUCAUAUUUUCAACCACUUUGAUGCAAUGUACAAUUAAAAAUCAGUAUUUCCGCGGACUAUGACAGAUAAGCCCGUGCCUUGUGCAGGAUAUCUUAAUAGUUAUAAAUAUUUUACAAUAAAUUCUAAAUAAAGUAUUUCCGCGGACUAUGACAGAUAAGCCCGUGCCUUGUGCAGGAUAUCUUAAUAGUUAUAAAUAUUUUACAAUAAAUUCUAAAUAAAGUAUUUCCGCGGACUAUGACAGAUAAGCCCGUGCCUUGUGCAGGAUAUCUUAAUAGUUAUAAAUUUUUACAAUAAAUUCUAAAUGAAGUAUUUCCGCGGACUAUGACAGAUAAGCCCGUGCCUUGUGCAGGAUAUCUUAAUAGUUAUAAAUAUUUUACAAUAAAUUCUAAAUAAAGUAUUUUCGCGGACUAUGACAGAUAAGCCGUGCCUUGUGCAGGAUAUCUUAAGUUAGUAGUUAUAAAUUUUUCACAAUAAAUUCUAAAUAAAGUAUUUCCGCGGACUAUGACAGAUAAGCCCGUGCCUUGUGCAGGAUAUCUUAGUAGUUGUAAUUUUAGAGGCCCACCCUCACAUUGUUUAUUGCCUUGACGUGGCGUGUAGACUCCACUUUGGUGGUCUAAGAUGAACACGUUGAGGGAUUGUAUGCAAUCUUUCUUUUAUUCAUUCUAAACGAUUUCCUUGGUUGCCAUCUUGGAAAUACACACCGAUAUCCAUAAAUUUAUAAUGAUCAAUAUUAACUUACCUGCAACUUGUAAAUCAUUUUUAGGUUAUAAAAUACACUUCUAUUAUAAUUUUAUUCAAUAAUAUAUGUUUAAAAGUCACUCAAAUGUGUUAAUAUUGAUAUUUGAAGAGUCAUUCGGUCAUUACAUGUGUUAUUCGGAUAAUAACAGUGUUAUUCGGUCAUUCGUGUUACCCGUAUUAUAGCUGUCGGCCAUGGUGUUUUGCUUCAAUAUCAAGACAGACCCCUGUCUGUUUACACUUUAUAAACUUUUCCAUCUUCAGAGAAUUAUUGUACCCAGCACAUGCAUUACUUUCCUAUGACAUACUGGAUUUGUGUAUAUAGGAUUGUUUUUUUCAUAUUUUCAACCACUUUGAUGCAAUUUUCAAUUAAAAAUCAGUACUCAAGCUGUCGGCCAUGUUAAUUUUCUUCAAUAUAAAGACAGACCCCUGUCCAUGGCUACAGUUUAUAAACUUGUCCAUCUUUAGAGAAAAAUUGUACCCAUCACAUGAUUUAAUUUCACAAGACAUACUGGAUUUGUGUAUAAAAAUUGUUUUUUUCAUUAUUUCCACCACUUUGAUGACAUUUACAAUUUAUAUAUAUAUAUUUACAUUCAGUAUCUGACCGCUUUUUUUUUUAACAGGAUCCUGCAUGUUAUAAAAGAACAAAGAUGUUGAUCAAAUUUACCUAACAGUGCAGCAUACAAGAGAUAUAAUAUCAUACAUGUGCUGAAUGUAGGACUCCCAAGUCUUUCUGAUUGAAAAUAAGACUCCCUGGCAAACAGGAACAACUAUUAGUGAUGACUUUAUCCAAAUGUGACGGCACUGUCAUGUAGUGGACUGAUUACUACUAUCAAUGUGAUACUUAACAAUGGUUUUGUAAGAGAGAAAAUUACAUGUGCUUAUCCUGACUGUAAAAACACCAUACUAUUGUAGUUCAUAUGCCAAACUUGAUGUACAUGUGUAUGCGAUUUUUGUGCAAUUGAUGGCGAGACCAUUGAACUAAAAACAAAUACAAGACUCUGCAUUCAAUCUAUUGAAUUUGAAGCAGAAGUGAUACAGUGGCAGUUGUGCAGAUGGAUAAAAAAGCAAAUAAAUAUCUUGUGUUCAAC